AAUGCUUCCUGAACUCCAGCAGUUUGGUGCUGCGUGCCCACUGCCCUGGGCAGCCUGUUCCAGCCUGUUCCAGUGCACAACCACCCUCUGGUCCUUUUGAGUCUUGAUAUAAAAUAAAAUAAGAAUUGAGCGUGGCCUACUAUGUUGGUAUAUGUGAGUUUUGCUCCUGGAGUUUAUGUGAUAAAGUAAGUAGAAGAAAAGAUUCCUCCACUGAUGUACAUCAAAUGAAAUCAGGAACACCUGAGCUCCCCACUCAUUGAAUGCUGCAGGGCAGGGGUUGCUCAUCAUCCCAUCCACAUUAUCAGCAUCUUACAGAACUGGGCCUCUGACAAGCCAUGCUGUCCCAGUAGGCAGUUGUUACAGCUCACUCCUUAACUGAGGCAGAGCAUAUUCUUACGACGCUUGCUGAAACCUUUGUUCCCAUUACCAUUUGCAAUUGACCUCUGUGCAAGCAGACUCAGCUUGGAACACCAGAUAUGUUCAGUCCAUGAGUCGGAUCUUGUACAAAAUGAGGGGCCUAAAAUCACUAGGGACAAAGUCUUUCUUUCAAUUGCAGUACGUUUAGAGAUCUUACUUACACCCCUUCCAUCCACAGAUGAAAACUCACUUGAUUUUCCACUUGGAUUCAUGCAGCUGGAGAUAAGGAUAAAAUUAGUACUGUGAAUUCACCUGGGCUAGUAAAGUGAGUUCAAGGGACAAUGUGGAAAUUUGAUUACGUAUUAUAUCUACUUACCGAUCUAUUAUGUAUAUAUCUAUUUCACUGCUGAAAAAAAAUAAAUGAAAAAUGUCACGGAAUGCAUUGUCUGCAGCACAGUUUUUAUAAGUACUUAGGCUAACAAUAGGAGGUUCAGCAACAUUCAAAACAGAGCUGAGUACUUCACAGAGCAGUUUUAACCAUUUUAAGAUGUUUGUAUUCUGAACAAGGAGACUUGUUGAACUUACUGUAAUUAUUGUAACUCAGCUUACAACGAAACAAUUAAAGGCAGAG
ensembl:lncRNA